rnacentral:rRNA from 1 species
AUUGAACGCUGGCGGCAGGCCUAACACAUGCAAGUCGAGCGGAGCGGCGGACGGGUGAGUAAUGCCUAGGAAUCUGCCUGGUAGUGGGGGAUAACGUCCGGAAAAGGGCGCUAAUACCACAUAAUAUCAGAAGGACCUAGGUCGGAUGAGCUAGUUGGUGGGGUAAAGGCAUACCAAGGCGACGAUCCGUAACUGGUCUGAGAGGAUGAUCAGUCACACUGGAACUGAGACACGGUCCAGGCUCCUACGGGAGGCAGCAGUGGCGAAUAUUGGACAAUGGGCGAAAGCCUGAUCCAGCCAUGCCGCGUGUGUGAAGAAGGUCUUCGGAUUGUAAAGCUCUUUAAGUUGGGAGGCGUUACCAACAGAAUAAGCACCGGCUAACUUCGUGCCGCCGCGGUAAUUC